rnacentral:rRNA from 1 species
AAUAUUGGACAAUUGGCGCAAGCCUGAUCCAGCCAUGCCGCGUGAGUGAUGAAGGCCCUAGGGUUGUAAAGCUCUUUCAACGGUGAAGAUAAUGACGGUAACCGUAGAAGAAGCCCCGGCUACCUUCGUGCCAGCAGCCGCGGUAAUACGAAGGGGGCUAGCGUUGUCCGGAAUUACUGGGCGUAAAGCGCACGUAGGCGUAUGGGUCAGUUAGGGGUGAAAUACCAGGGCUCAACCCUGGAACUGCCUUUAAUACUGCCGGUCUAGAGUUCGAGAGAGGUGAGGGGAAUUCCGAGUGUAGAGGUGAAAUUCGUAGAUAUUCGGAGGAACACCAGUGGCGAAGGCGGCUCACUGGCUCGAUACUGACGCUGAGGUGCGAAAGCGUGGGUAGCGAACAG